GGAGGAGUAUUUGACAAUGGGCGAAAGCCUGAUCGAGCAACGCCGCGUGGAGGAUGAAGGUCUUCGGACUGUAAACUUCUUUUUGGGGAGACGAGACAAGGACGGUAUCCCCAGAAUAAGCCACGGCUAACUACGUGCCAGCAGCCGCGGUAAGACGGAGGUGGCGAGCGUUAUCCGGAUUUACUGGGCGUAAAGCGUUUGUAGGUGGCUUAGUAAGUUGGGCGUGAAAUCUCCGGGCUUAACUCGGAG
rnacentral:rRNA from 1 species